rnacentral:snoRNA from 1 species
AACAUCAUUCUCCCAGAUUUUCUCGCAUAUGUUUUUUGUGAUUCAGUUUCAGAAUUCAUUUGGAAAUCGGGUGUAGAUCAUCUGCUUUUGGUGGAGCACGUUGCUGGGCACCUAGUAUUGAAACUUUGUUGUUGAUAUAUUGGGAAUCAGUUGUCGCUACAGUU